GACGAACGCUGGCGGCGUGCUUAACACAUGCCAGUCGAACGGAAAGGCCUGCUUUCCCUUGUGGAUUGCGGGUACUCGAGUGGCGAACGGGUGAGUAACACGUGAGUGAUCUGCCCCCAACUUGGGUAUAAGCCUGGGAAACUGGGUCUAAUUCCCGAUAGGACUGCAGGGUGGUGCCUGUGGUGGAAAACGAUUUUCUAGUGGUUGGGGAUGAGCUCGCGGCCUAUCAGCUUGUUGGUGGGGUAAUGGCCUACCAAGGCGGCGACGGGUAGCCGGCCUGAGAGGGUGGACGGCCACAUUGGGACUGAGAUACGGCCCAGACUCCUACGGGAGGCAGCAGCGGGGAAUAUUGCACAAUGGGCGGAAGCCUGAUGCAGCGACGCCGCGUGGGGGAUGACGGCCUUCGGGUUGUAAACUCCUUUCGACCGCGAGGAAGCCACCUGGUUGGAAGGGUGGUGACGGUAGUGGUAGAAGAAGCACCGGCUAACUACGUG
rnacentral:rRNA from 1 species